rnacentral:rRNA from 1 species
UACGUAGGGUGCAAGCGUUAAUCGGAAUUACUGGGCGUAAAGCGUGCGCAGGCGGCUAUGCAAGACAGAUGUGAAAUCCCCGGGCUCAACCUGGGAACUGCAUUUGUGACUGCAUGGCUAGAGUACGGUAGAGGGGGAUGGAAUUCCGCGUGUAGCAGUGGAAUGCGUAGAUAUGCGGAGGAACACCGAUGGCGAAGGCAAUCCCCUGGACCUGUACUGACGCUCAUGCACGAAAGCGUGGGGAGCAAACAGG